CCACAUAUGUUUAAAAGGAACCCAGAUUAAACUCUAGAAUCCACAGCCAUAAAGAUGAUAAUACAUUAGUUACCCAUUAGUUACCCACUAGUUACCCAUAGUUUGAGAUAUUCAAAUUUAGUUACCCAUUAGUUACCCAAAUACUACCAUUAGUUACCCUUUUAUGCUUCUCCAAAAAUCGCUGUAAUGGAGAAACAGCAGGCUAAGUUGUGCAAAACAUAACUCAAACCAACUAAAGGAGCAUUUGUCAUUGGCGAAAGCACUUUUUUUAUAGCUUCAACAAAUCAUAUCUGACUUUCCCAAAAUCGGAAGGUCUGUCCCUGUCUUCAAUCUUAACAAUUUCAUUUUCAUGGCCACGCCAUUGAUGCUCCUAGUUUUAUUAUUGGCUGUGUUUUGUAUUCGGGCAACCCCUAAAUAGACAAAAUUUUACCCCGAACAAACCCUUCUAUUUAAAUUGCUAAAUAAACAAUUCACAAGUUCCCCAAAUUCCCAAACAAGAAUGGUGUUUUAACCUAAACCGCAAACCCUAAAAUUUAAUUUUUUUUUCUAAGCCCCAAAUUCGAAAAACACAAUGCACCCAAAACCCCAAAUCAAGACGAUGUUCUUCAGAAGGAUUAAACGCAUACCUUUUAACCAGAUAUUCUGCAACUACUGUCAAGAAUGGCGCAAUCGUUGCUUCCUCUUUGAUGAUUUCUGAUUUCUCCUCCCCUUUCUUCCUUAGAAUAUUUUCUUAGGUUUUUUCCCCUUCCCAAUCGGCGUUUUCACUUGCAGAAUAUUUUCUUUCUGUCUUUGUCGACGAGUGAGUAAAAAUGCUAAGUUAAAAGCCAUCUGCAGAAACGGCAUCGUUGAGAAAAAAUUUUAAAACACCUUUGCGGCGUUUAUAGACCAAACGCCACAAAAAAUUAAACCUUUUAACAGAAACGGCGCCGUUUUCUUAGUCUGAAAUUGCAUUUUUUGUGGCGUUUAAUAAAAACCGCCACGUAUACUUAAGCCAAACGUUGACGUUUUCAAUAAAUUAUUCUAAAAUUUUUCCAAGUUAAAAAUCUGUUCCGGAAACGACGUCGUUUAGCGAUUAUAUUAACACCGUUUUGUGGCGUUUUUGGUAAAAACGCCACUAAAUAUUACAGCUGUGAACAGAAACAACACCGUUUUCGUGGUCUGGAAUUGCAUUUUUUGUGGCGUUUUUAGAAAAACGCCACUAAAUAUUACAGCUGUGAACAGAAACGACACCGUUUUCGUGGUCUGGAAUUGCAUUAUUUGUGGCAUUUUCUUAAAAACGCCACUAAAAGUUUAACUAUUCAUUCGAAAACGGCGCCGUUUUGAAUUUUUUUAUUUUUUUAUUUCAUUUCUUAUGUAUUUGGUCCUAUAUAUAUAUAUAUUUCCAAAAUAAAUAAUUAUACCUAAAUAUAUAACCAUCCAUAUAAUAUAUAUCAAUAUAUUUUUUAACUUAUUUAUGAAUUCUAUUUAAAAUAAUUUUUAAAUAUAUCAAUUGGUACUUUAGAUUAAUUUUUUAAAAUAUUAUUUAAAUAAAUUAAUCUAAACUAACCUAAAAUCCUUAUUUGACCCCUAAACCCUAAAUCUUUAACCCCUAGAUUGCAACUUGUAACCCCUAAACCCUUAGCUAACUCUUACAUCCCAAACCCUAAAUUUGUACCCCCUAAUCCUUAAAAUAGCACGACCUCUUUUACGACCUCUUUUACAGUUAUAUAUAUAAGAACAUAUUUAAAAUAUAAUUUGUCAAUACUAAUUAAUCUAAACCCUAGCUAAACCCUAAAUCCUUAAUCAACUCCUAAUAACCCCUAAGUGCUAACCCCAACCCUAACCCCUAAACAUUAUAUCUCAGCCCUUACACCAUAUCCCUAAAUCCAAUAUUAUAUAUAUACUCUUGAUCAAUUAUAAUAAUAACCUUAAAAUAGUAACCCCUAAACCGACUUAAAAUCUUAAAUUAAUAAUAUCAUAUAUAUACCCUUAAAACCUAAAACCCUAUAUUAACUAUAGUGAUACGCUUAAUUAAAUAUUUUAAAUUUAAAUUAAUACUUACUAUCUCUUUUAAUUACGAUAAUAAUUUCAAAUUUUUAAUAUAUAAAUUAAAACUUUAAAUAAUACUUUAAAAUUUAAAUUAUUUUAAAUAAUACUAUUUUAAUUUUUCCAUGUGUUUUAUUUCAAAUUAUUUAUACCUGUUAUUUUUUAUUGAAGAUUUUAAAUAUUCUAUUAGAAAUAUGUUUAAUUUGAUUCAAAUAAUAUAAAUAAUAGUUCAAUUAAGAUAAUUUUUUUUGCGGCGCAUAAACAAAAACGCCUCUAAAACACCUAGAUUAGCGGCGCUUUACAAAAAACGCCACUAAUGCCCCCCCAAAGGACACAAAACGGCACCGUCUGGGAGUAUUAUUUGCGGCAUUUUUUUAUAAGCGCUGCUAAUGUUCACUCUUUAGCGGCGCUUUACAAUAAACGCCACUAAGUCCCCCCCAAAGGCCACAAAACGGCACCGUCUGGGUGUAUUAUUUGCGGCGUUAUCUAUAAACGCCACUAAUGCUCACUCUUUAGCGGCGCUUCGCAAUAAACGCCACUAAGUCCCCCCCAAAGGCCACAAAACGGCACCGUCUGGGUGUAUUAUUUGCGGCGUUAUUUAUAAACGCCGCUAAUGCUCACUCUUUAGCGGCGCUUUACAAUAAAUGCCACUAAGUCCCCCCCAAAGGCCACAAAACGGC
rnacentral:lncRNA from 1 species